UUGAUGCAGAUGAAUUUCAGGAAGAACUGGGAGAGUAGAAACAAAAUUGUCAGCACUUCUCCAUGGAAACCCCAUGGAGGUUUCAGGGCUGAGGACAGCGCUGGGGAAGUCCUGGGGCCCCCAGAAGCCAGAGGUGGGGUAACAAGAGGAUGGGUGGAUGACUUACGCAGGGAGCAGCCCUCUGAAACCGCCGGAAUCGAGGCCUCCUUUGCACCUUGAUUCCACCCAGAGUCUGCGCCUACGCUUUGGGCAGGGGAGGCAGAACCCACGUUGGUCUAAGAGCAGGGAGAAGUGGGCAUGAUCCUACCAUGCUGCAGGGCCUCGGGAUGGGGAUGGGAUUUGCUGCUCUUUGUGCCCAAUUAAUGAGCGAGACGAACAAGCACACUGAGUAGCUUCCUGCCAGCCGUCCCCUUUGGCAGCAAACUCAUCCCCACCUCUGGGCCUUGGCUCGAGUUGUUAGCCAACUCAACCUUGAAGCCGUCCCUUCCUAUCAGCCCAUGCAAAUUCUGCCAUCAGCCAAGGACCGCCUCUUCCUCUUCCGGGAAGCUGACUUCAAGCCAUGCCCUUCCCUUUUGCAAGCUCCCGUGGCUCGCGACCCGCAGCCCACCCCUGCACCAGUGGACACUGCGGGAUGGCCUGGCCUCGGCUCUGCAUUUUCACUUCUCUUAGCUCUCAUCUCCUCCACCACAGAGACAGCUCUGUCUGAGUAUCUUUCUGAUACUGUUCUUUAUCCCCCAGGACUGGCCCAGCCCAGGGCGGUGCGUACAGCAGACACUUAAUGUAACACAGUAGCAGCUUUUAAUUUCUCAGGCCAAUGAGAUACAGACAGUCACUGGUAUGGUAGUUUUUCAGUCAAGCAUCAAGGGAAGAACUUAUUAGUUUGAAUUACAAACAACAGAAGUAGAAAACUCCACAAGGAAAAAUCUCAGCUGGUGAAGAAGCUCAGGAGCUCACAGAAGGCUCCAAGCAGGCAGGACCAGACCGCAGCUUCCAGGUGCUGGGAUCCGGGGACCACACCUUCACCUGCUGCUCUCUUGAAGGAAAAACAAAUAUCUGCCUCUGGCAGGUAAAAAAAAAAUAAAAGGAGUGCGUCUCA
rnacentral:lncRNA from 1 species